CUCCAGGAGCAACAAGUCAAUCAAAAAACUUUAACCAAUCAGAAAACAACAUUCAUCACAGAUAUAAGGUAGGACAGCCCCCAAUUCUCCCUCUUUCUUUGGUGUGAACGUAGAUAGUCCCUUUUAACUGGAAACGGAAAACUGUAGAAACUUGAGCAUCCUGAUAACUCCGAACUGUAACGAAUUGUUGAGGGAAUUAGAUUCUGCUUGUAGUCGAUGGAAGUAUUCAUACUGAAAAGGAGAAAAUAAGUGAAAGGUAUUGGCAGUGACCAUGAUUCCAAAUCUCACUCUUGUUUUGCCAGGUCUGAAGGAAUGCAUCCACUGCUUUGCAGUCUGGAUCUGCUAGCCAGCUGAAGAACCUGAGCAGUUGACGAUUGGUCCAUGAGACAAAUGAGUCGAUGAUGAGAGGACCCCUGCAUUCAUACAAACUUUGGAAUAUCAACUUGUGGAGGUGCCAGUCACUGCUGUCCCUCCAAUGUCAUGAAUACCAGUCCACUGUGGAUAUUUGGAUAGUUGGAUAUUCCCGGUAGGUAUUCUGUCUAUAACCUGAUAUUGCGGGAGAGAUGUAAAUGUCUUUUAUUGCAUCUGUUAGUGACUGGGAUCCAGCUCCGCCCAGACGAUUGAUAUAUUGGACUGCUGAGAUGUUGUCCAUGGCUUUGCCAUUCCAGGCUUGCCUGUGGAGAAGCCACCAACGGAGCUCCUUGCAUAUAUCAUUCAUGAUAGGGAUCGUCUGGUCAUAUGAGAUUCCUGAUCGCAGAUAGUGUGCCUUCGCAAUGAGCCAUGCAAUGGCUGAAGAGGAUCUGAGUAAAUAGCCUGUAUAGAAGUGGAAAGUAGUCCCACAACCUAAGCGAGGAGACGAAGUUGCAUGUGAUCCAUAUUCAGUAUCUUCUGAAUUUCUUUGUGCACAGUGGCUAUCUCUUUGAGGGUUAGCCGAAGCAUGCAUGAGGUAGAGUACAUUUUGAACCCCAUAAAUUGGGCAAUUUGCCAUGGUUCCAGUGCUGAUUUGUCAUGAUAUACCACGAAACCCAAGGAUUCGAGGAAGUCUACCACAAAGUUUGUUUGAUAUCAUAGUAUUGAAACCGUGUCGUAAUAGAUUAGUAUAUCAUCCAAAUAUAUUAUGCAUCAUAUCCCUAGUGACCGUAGGCGAGUCAUGACCGGCUUCAGCAGCUUCGUGAAGCACCAUGGAGCCGAGCCCUAAGGGAGGCAGGUGAACUGGCAUGCCCGGUCGUACCAACGGAAUCGUAGGAAUCUCCAGCAUGACUGCACUACUGGUACAGGGAGGUAAGCAUCCCUGAGGUCCAGUCGAGUGAACCAAUCGUCUUUGCAGAUCUGGAAGUAGGUGAAUCCCUUCCAUCUUGAAAUGGUGGUAUACUACCAAUCAGUUGAGUUGUCCUAGGUUGAUGACCGGACGUAAGUCUCCUGUUUUCUUUUGAAACCAGAAAAUGUUGCUGAAGCAACCAUCCUCGUCUUGUGCAUAUUGAAUUGUGCCUUUGGUAAAGAGAGUUCAGAUUUCUUUGUCAAUAAGAGAUGUGUUGCAACAUGUACCACGGGUUACAGAAAUAUUAUAUUUGGUUUAUUUUGCCUGUUUAAUUGAAGUUCACUAAACUGAACCCAAAACACUGUUUUUUUUCCUUUUUACUGAUAUGAUAAUUUGCUAUAUGUUAUUUACUGAAACUGACAAUUGUAGAGAAUAAACAAAAGAAAAUUGCCUUGUAAUUUUCCCCCAACAAUUCUGUCCUAUAAUUUGCAAUUUCUUUUUCAGUUCUUUAAUAUUCCAUAAUUCCCAGUUUUAAAUAAACACACAAGAGUGAGCUAGUAUUUUGGACUCUCUAUAUUUGGAUUACCCUUCAGUUACAGUCAAGCCGCUUACAUGGAUUUGUUGCUAUGUUUCACCAGUCAUUUCUUAUCUAAAACUGUAACUGUAACUCACAUUGAUAACAAAUGUUGUCUUUAUAUCUUUGUAUGGAUUCUUUUGUAUUAGAGGAAUAUGUUAAUUGGAGGUUUGGUUAAUCAUUAAUUGGCAAGAAUUUAUCAUGUGAUAUGAUUGUAUCAUAUGGAACAAUGCACACACACACACACACACACAAACACACAUGCGCACACACGCACACACACACAGUACACUGUAUCAGGGACAGUUAGUAGAACACAGAAAUGUGCAAUAAUUUGCUAGUGUGAAGUAAUGCAAAAAUAAGAGGUCAUAGCACCCACAGAAAUAUUACUCUUCUUCUUGAAGGACAACCCUUUUUCAGAUUAAUUAUACUAGGGUAUAAAUUGCAAGGACUAUUUUAUUUUCUUCUUGAUAAAACACAGCUUAUAUAGACCUACUAAAGAGAGAAUUUUCCAUAGUGCGAUACAUAAAAUACGGUAAAUAAAAGAAAAUAAAGAAAGAUGACCACUCAAACAUCUGAUCUACCAAAGAGGGCUCAGACUAUAAGGGCUCCAGUGGUAAUACACCUAUCCAAUUUCAGCUUCACACAGGGGCUCCAAGGUCUUUACUUUCCAGCCUAGCAUCUUGUGAAUUGCGAAGAAAGCAGGGAUUACAGUAUUCCUUUAAAUCUUUGUUGGCCACACUAUGGAUAUAAAUAAACACUGAAACAAAAUAAACCAUCAUAACAUUUUAAUGCUGGAUCCCUGGAAAUUAUAGAUCGUGCCAUUCUACCCAACUGAUUCUUCCGGCAUCUUCUGACACAUUACUUCCACGGAUGUAUUGUGCAUCAGGAUCAUCACGCAAAUGGCACCUGGAAGUAUAUGGGCACACUGCUUCCUGAUCCCCAAACUGCCAUAUUUAACAAAGUAUUGUAG